ensembl:lncRNA
GUACCUUUCUAGGUCGUCACUGGUUAUUGACACAAACGAGACCUGGUGACAUUUAGAGAUGCAUCAGAACAGCAUUCCUCAUGACUCGGCCCAGUACAGAAGCUUCUCAGGCCUUGAGAGGCUACGCUAAGCCUUAUCAUCCCACAGGCUCCUCAUUUGUUUUCCUAGCCCUCUGUCCACAACCAUAAAAUUUAUUAAGUCCCGUAACACCUCCUUGAGUAGUAUAUUCAUUUUAUAAAUAUGUUUCUGUAGAAUGAUAUUAAGGGAGCAGAAAGGGAAGUUGUCAAGGAGGAAAAUGAUCUAGAAGGAAUUGAAAAAAGAUUUGGCACCAGAUUUGUAAUGCAGACCUACUGUAGGAAGACUCUAAGGUUUUGAGCCAGUCUGAACAGGACAGUACCUUCUGCCAAUGGAGAUUGUGGUGGAUGAUUCGUGGUAGAGUACGUAUUUACUGUGGGAAAAAUUGCAUUUGAUGGCUCAAUUUGUAUUUGGAUUGAAGGAUAGCCUCAGCCAAUAGGAAACGAAGAUUAACCAUAAAGGAUUCAAAGUAGAAGCAGGAGGUGACCUAGCCACACGGCAGCCCAUCCACAUGUUGAGUAAUGAGCCAGCUGAAAAGAGCAGCACUCAGUCCUCACCGUCUUGGUCCAGUCUUCUCCAUGUGAAGAGCUGUCUGGAUGUGAACACAUUCACGAGAUCAUCUUAGGGAACUCAAACCCAUCUUACAAUAUGAUCAUUCUUCAAUCAGCAAUGAUCUUUGUUACACAAAAAUAUAUCAAAUGUUAGUUUUAUUUCUGUUAAAACUCAUUAAUAUAAAGUAAAAUUUCAGAGUGCUUUUGUGAAACUGGGAAUCAGAAUGAGCCUUUCCUAAUAAGCUGGUCCUGGAACUCUGAAGUCAGAUAUUUGUGGUCAUAGCCUCUAUUGUUAUCUUGAAUUUUUGUUGUUGUUGUUGUAAACCUCUCAACUCUUCAAAGGACCUCUUUGUUAACAUUCCCAUUAUUCAGAAUUAGUUCCAUGCCUGAACUCCUGCUCCCUAGACGGCAAACACAACUCCAUGGUCAAUCCAUAGCUUCACUAAUGGCAACUCCAGUCACAUAACAGAUGGGAACACUAAUGAAUAAAAUGCCCUCUGUCAGAACAAACAUUAUCUAUCUAUAUCUACAUUUAUAUCUAUCUUCAUUUAUCUCUAUCUAUAUAAAAAUGUAAUCACAGAAACCGUGGUUCAUUUUCUGAUCCAGAAAUCAGCUCUAGUGGUUGCUGAUAUUCUUUUGAAGACCAUAGAAAUAAGCAUUUUAGAUCAGUAUUAUCAAAGAAAUUCCCAAAUGCAUGAUCAUUUUGAAGAGAAUACUCUGACACUUCUCAUAACUUCAUCUUAAUUCUCAAUAAAUCUCUCUUCAUCCUGUUAUUUUGUAGUCAAUAUUCUGUGUUCUAAUAUGUAGAGCUGGGAAUACAAGGAUAGUGGGUAUGGGAAACUGGAUAAUGUGAAAAAUACUAGUGGGGUAAAUUUACAUAUGGCAUGAAGAGAAUAUUUACCCAACAAAUUAACUGUUAAAAUUUAGCUUAAGUCAUGCCUAUAAGGUAUAUAAAUUCUUUAAUUUGCUGAAUUCUUCUUCUUUUGAUACUUUUUUCUGUAGGUCAUUUUAAACGUUUCUUGCUUUAUUCUCUCUCCACUAAUUAGUCGUUACAUUUUCAACAAUAUUUUGUAGGGUAACAAGUGAGUUACUUUUCGCAUUUGAAAUUUCAACAACCAGACCAAGAAAGCUCAAGCUACUUUCCUUUAAGUAGUUUCUGGCAAAGAAUUCUGACGUAGGUAACUUACUGUUUACAUGCUACAUCCUGCCGAGUUCUGGAUUUGGACUUGGAGAAUCUGUGAUAGAGAAAUUCUUAAAUGUUUAGCUCAGUUUGAACUAAUGUUUUUGUUUGGAAUUUGCACGUAAUUUUUUCCAAAUAAACUAUAUGAGAAAAUCG